NNNNNNNNNNNNNNNNNNNNNNNNNNNNNNNNNNNNNNNNNNNNNNNNNNNNNNNNNNNNNNNNNNNNCCGCCCCGCGGACGAGCCCCGGGCCUGGCUGUGCCCUCAUCUCCCCGGCGCUCCCUUCGUCCCGACGGCGCCUGGGCUCGGCCCGGGCUGGUCCUGGACACACGCGCCCCCGCCGCGGCACUCGGCGUGAGAGUUGAGCCCGGCGCCCCGGCCUCCGGCCUCCACAUCCUCGGGGUGACGGCGCCCCGGGCGGCGGGCGGGCCACAGGACUUGACUCUGCGGAGAGGUGGGCGUGGGAGCCACACGUGGUCCACAUCCAAGGCAAGUUCUGAGCAGUCCGCUGCCCCGGGCCAUGCUCAGGCGCACCCCUGUGGCCUCUGGCUCCGGGUGUGGGCAGCAGUCCUUUGUGUCGGGGCCACUGAAGUCCCAGAGCUGUGGCUGCCACGUGGCGCAGCUCGUCCCCAUGCAACCACGGUCCAUGAUUCAUCCGACUCUGGGCCGCGAUGCCUCCUCUCCAGCAGCCUGGCCGGCCCCCGACGGGGGCGAAUUCCCUCCUCCCUAGAGGCUGGGACCCAGACAGCAAGGCCCCGGUGCCAUGGUGGUCUUGGUUCCCGUGAACGCCCUCUGGGAGCACAGCUCUGUCCCCAGCUCUCAGCUGGCCCCACCCUUGGGUUCUCAUCACUCCAGAGCGAAGGUCCCCAUUCCUGCCUCUCAGGGUUCUCAAGGGCCAAGUACCUAGCACAGGGCCUGACACGCGGAGGUGGCCCUGCAUCCUCGGUGUUAGCUGCCACCAGGGCAGGCCUCGGCAGGCCGCCCACGACAGUCCCGGCCUCGGGGGGCGGGCAGACGCGCAGAGCGGCAACCACAGCUGCACGAAGUAGGAGCUGGAGGGCAAGACGCUGAGGAAGGGGACUCCUGACCGCUGGCCGGUGCCGCAGUCCCCUGGGGACUCCCACGCUGCUCCUGGCGGCCGCCAGGGCGCACCCGCUCUGUCUGCCGGGUCGUGGUGCUCUGGGACUUGGCUUCCGUUUGUGAUGCGGGGAUUGGGCUGGCACCGAGGGCUCCGCCAUGUCAGCCCGUACCCGGGGCACUAGAGUGUGAGCAUUUGCUCACGUAACACCCGUGUGGGUGUGCAUAGAACGCUUCCGGGGUGAGGCACGGAAACCAUUCCCUUUACACCAUGGGCCCUCCAUGGGGCCGUCCCCCGGCGGCUCCCAGUGAGGUCUGGGCGCACUUCUGGGGGUCAUCCCCGGGUGGGUGGAGGCCAGGGAGGCCGCUCAGCACCCCACGGUGCCCGGGAGGAACCUGGACUCCGUGGUGCCCUUGGAGGGAGGUUCUCCCAGAUCCCCGGGGGGCCUGCAGAGGAAGGCACCCAGGCAACGGGAAGGCUCAGGGGCCUCGGGGGAUGGGGGCCACACCGUCCAGCUCGCGCUGGCUCUGCCCCCUGGUGGCCACGUGGCCCUCAGCAAGUCUCACAAACAUGGUUUUUAUGUCCUUGGGGCUUUGAGGCUGGCAGGGGGUGGCCCAGCGGACCCUGGGCCACCACCUCCCAGAGAACACCACUUCUGAUCUGCGCACAGAGGAGAAGGGGUUUUGGAGGACUUCUCUCUGCAUCUUGGGUACGGAUGAGAUGCUCAAGAUCAGCCCUGAGAGGGCCCAGACACUCCACAUCACAGGGGCACCUGCUUCCCACAUUGGCCAGGCCUGGCUUCUGCUGUUGGCCCCUUGGGCUAGGUCCAGGGGCUCCCAAUGGGGCCCCUGUCGGCUGAGCUGGCCCCUGGCUCUGUCUCUGGAGAUAGCAGGAGAGUGCAGGGGCUCGGGCAUCACCGCCCCUAGCGCCACCACUCCCAGGUUCACUCCACCCUCCACAGCCCCACAGCUCCAAAGUGCCUCCAGGCGAGGGCUCCAACACCCCUGCAGGGCAGUGAGACCUGUCCCCCCAAGAGGCAUGUCUCUCUGGAACCGGUGAGGGUGACCUUAUUAGGAAACAAGGUCUUUGCGGGUGUCUUUUGUCCGGGAUAUGGAGAUGAGGUAGCCCUAAAUCCAAAUGUCCUUAGAAGAGAAAGUAAAAGACAGAGACACAGAGGAGGAGACUGGGGCGAUGUGGCCACAGGCCUCGGGACACCUGGAGCCCUGGGAGCUGGGAGAAGCAGGAGGGACCCUCCCCUAAUUUCUACAUCCAAUAGGGGCUUGAACUUCAAACUCUGAGAUCAAGAGUUGCUCCACCCACUCCGUCAGCCAGGCGCCCCACAUUUUUGUUGCUUUAAGCCACCGAGUUUGUGGACAUUUGUUACAGCACAUGUAAUACAGCUCUCCUGGCCCUAAGCCCAACAGACACUUAACAGCCUGCAUCUGUGGGCUGCUGGACACAGGACUGCUGCCAGCCCACAAAGGGCCUCUAUGUGAAUUAGGAAAAAACUCCACAAAAAAACCUUCAUAGAGGGGCACCUGGUUGGCUCAGUCGUUCGGUGUCUGCCUUUGGCUCGGAUCGAGACCUGCAUGGGCUCCCUGCUUGACAGGAAGCCUGCUUCUCCCUCACCCACUCCCCUGCCUGUGUUCACUCUCUUGCUGUGUCUCUCUGUCAAAUAAAUAAAAUCUAAAAAACAAAUAAGCAUACAAACAAAAAAACCUUCAUAGACAUAUCUUUGUUUGUGACUGUCUAUAGGUGAGCGGCUUGUGCGAUGAGUGGCUUGUGCAGUGUUUGGCCUGAACAACUGUACAUGGUGGCCCAGCCACUGAUGACUUUUCCCCUUUGGACGAUGUCCUGCGAUGACAUUCUCUUCUUGUCCCUCCUUCAUGUCUGGUUGGCCUGAUCAUGCUUUUUUAUGGGUUCUCCAAGGCUGGGGCUCCUCAGGAUUGGGUCCUGGGCUCUUCUCAGUUCUCCUGAGGCCUUCACAACCCCUCCUGGCUGAUGACCGCCUGUCUCACUUGCAGACCCCCCUCUCCAUCCUCCAGCUGCAAGGUUCUCCCCGCCGCCUGACCUACGAGUCCCCCAAAACCCUGGAAACUUCCCCCCCAAUCAGUGACCUCCCGCCUCAAUGGACAGCCCCACGGAUGGCCUAGGGCCGUCUCUGCAUACUUUCUUCCCACCCUUGCCCCUGCAAACCCAGCAACGUAGGACUUCAGAGCACAUGGACACUCUGCUCAGAUGCCCGCCCUCCAUCCCCUUCCCAUACCUGGGAUCCCUCCCCAGCUUCCCAGUGCUGUCCUUAUGGCCUGUACCUGCGACUCUCUUGGGAGGGCUGCCUAAAGGUAGGCAGGUGCUGGAAGCAGGGGGAGGGCACAACCCCCUGGUGACCAGGCUGGAACAUUCGCUUCCAGGGUUCUCCCGGGAGCACUGCCUUAUAAAUUACCCACACAUGAAUGCUGCCUCAGGUUCCGCUUCUGGGGACCCCUCCCCAGCAGCCAGUCCCAGGGCACCCACAUCCACUCACGACCGCACCUGCUCGGCGUUUGGAAAGCUCAACCCAGAUAUCUGACGUGGAUCGUCUGUUCAAUACAUAUUCCUCCAUCACCUUUCGUGGGCUCGCAACGNNNNNNNNNNNNNNNNNNNNNNNNNNNNNNNNNNNNNNNNNNNNNNNNNNNNNNNNNNNNNNNNNNN
ensembl:lincRNA